rnacentral:rRNA from 1 species
GAUGAACGCUAGCGGCAGGCCUAACACAUGCAAGUCGAGGGGUAUUAGGGGCUUGCUCCUAAGAGACCGGCGCACGGGUGCGUAACGCGUAUGCAAUCUGCCUUGUACAGAGGGAUAGCCCAGAGAAAUUUGGAUUAAUACUUCAUAGUGUAAUGAAAUGGCAUCAUUUUAUUACUAAAGCUUCGGCGGUACAAGAUGAGCAUGCGUCCCAUUAGCUAGUUGGUAAGGUAACGGCUUACCAAGGCUACGAUGGGUAGGGGUCCUGAGAGGGAGAUCCCCCACACUGGGUACUGAGACACGGACCAGACUCCUACGGGAGGCAGCAGUGAGGAAUAUUGGUCAAUGGUCGGAAGACUGGAACCGGCCAUGCCGCGUGCAGGAUGACGGCCCUAUGGGUUGUAAACUGCUUUUGUACGGGAAGAAACACCGGUUCGUGAACCGGCUUGACGGUACCGUAAGAAUAAGGAUCGGCUAACUCCGUGCCAGCAGCCGCGGUAAUCAUACUACG